rnacentral:rRNA from 1 species
AUUGAACGCUGGCGGCAGGCCUAACACAUGCAAGUCGAACGAGAGGCGGACGGGGGAGAAAUAUCUGGGAAACUGCCCGCUGGAGGGGGAUAAAUACAGGAAACGGUAGCUCAUACCGCAGAACAUCGGAUGUGACCAGAUGGGAUUAGCUAGUAGGUGGGGUAGCGGCUCACCUAGGCGAGGAUCCCUCGCUGGUCUGAGAGGAUGACCAGCCACACUGGACCUGAGACACGGUCCAGACUCCUACGGGAGGCAGCAGUGGGGAAUAUUGCACAAUGGGCGCAAGCCUGAUACAGCCAUGCCGCGUGUAUGAAGAAGGCCUUCGGGUUGUAAAGUACUUUCAGCGAGGAGGCGUUACUCGCAGAAGAAGCACCGGCUAACUCCGUGCCAGCAGCCGCGGUAAUAC